AGAGUUUGAUCAUGGCUCAGAUUGAACGCUGGCGGAAUGCUUUACACAUGCCAGUCGAACGGCAGCACGGAGAGCUUGCUCUCUGGUGGCGAGUGGCGAACGGGUGAGUAAUAUAUCGGAACGUGUCCAAUAAUGGGGGAUAACGAGUCGAAAGAUUCGCUAAUACCGCAUACGCCCUACGGGGGAAAGCAGGGGAUCGUAAGACCUUGCGUUAAUGGAGCGGCCGAUAUCUGAUUAGCUUGUUGGUGAGGUAAAGGCUCACCAAGGCGACGAUCAGUAGCUGGCUUGAGAGAACGACCAGCCACACUGGAACUGAGACACGGUCCAGACUCCUACGGGAGGCAGCAGUGGGGAAUUUUGGACAAUGGGGGCAACCCUGAUCCAGCCAUUCCGCGUGAGUGAAGAAGGCCUUCGGGUUGUAAAGCUCUUUCGCGAGGGAAGAAAACUUAUGAUCGAAUAAAUCAUGAGGUUGACGGUACCUUGAUAAGAAGCACCGGCUAACUACGUGCCAGCAGCCGCGGUAAUACGUAGGGUGCGAGCGUUAAUCGGAAUUACUGGGCGUAAAGCGUGCGCAGGCGGUUUUGUAAGUCGGAUGUGAAAUCCCCGGGCUCAACCUGGGAACUGCGUUCGAAACUGCAAGGCUAGAGUGUGUCAGAGGGGGGUAGAAUUCCACGUGUAGCAGUGAAAUGCGUAGAGAUGUGGAGGAAUACCAAUGGCGAAGGCAGCCCCCUGGGAUAACACUGACGCUCAUGCACGAAAGCGUGGGGAGCAAACAGGAUUAGAUACCCUGGUAGUCCACGCCCUAAAACGAUGUCAACUAGUUGUUGGAGAGUAAAAUUCUAUGAGUAACGUAGCU
rnacentral:rRNA from 1 species